AAGUCGUAACAAGGUAUCCGUAGGUGAACCUGCGGAUGGAUCAUUAGAAAGUGCGAGGUGCUUCGGCACCGACCACCCACUCUGUGCACUGUAACGUACCCUGCGGUCGAGGGCUUAGGCCCGAGGCCGCGCUGGGCUGUUCCUAACGGGACGGCUGAACAAACACAUCAACCAACGUCUGAAGCCAAAGAAACAAUGUUAAACAACUUUUGACAACGGAUCUCUUGGCUCUC
rnacentral:misc_RNA from 1 species